UGGGUUUGACAUCACCGCAAAACCGGCAGAGAUGUCGGGUCCUUCGGGGGCGGUGACAGGUGGUGCAUGGCUGUCGUCAGCUCGUGUCGUGAGAUGUUGGGUUAAGUCCCGCAACGAGCGCAACCCUCGUUCGAUGUUGCCAGCGGGUUAUGCCGGGGACUCAUCGAAGACUGCCGGGGUCAACUCGGAGGAAGGUGGGGAUGACGUGUAACCGAAUCU
rnacentral:misc_RNA from 1 species